rnacentral:misc_RNA from 1 species
UGGUUCUGGCAUCGAUGAAGAACGCAGCGAAAUGCGAUAAGUAAUGCGAAUUGCAGAAUUUCCGUGAGUCAUCGAAUCUUUGAACGCACAUUGCGCCCUUUGGCAUUCCGAAGGGCAUGCCUGUCCGAGCGUCAUUAUCCUCCCUCAAACCCCCGGGUUUGGUGUUGGACCGCGUUGGGCCCUUGCCGGCCAACUGGUCUCAAAGACAAUGACGGUGUCCCCAGGACCCUCUUUGCACUGAGCUUUUCGGAGCACGCAGAGAGUUUCAAGGGCUCAGGGACCCGGUCGCCUCCAAAAACUAUUUUUUUCAGGUUGACCUCGGAUCAGGUAGGAAUACCCGCUGA